UACGUAGGGUGCAAGCGUUGUCCGGAAUUAUUGGGCGUAAAGAGCUCGUAGGCGGUCUGUCGCGUCUGCUGUGAAAACUCGGGGCUUAACCCCGGCCUGCAGUGGGUACGGGCAGACUAGAGUGCGGUAGGGGAGACUGGAAUUCCUGGUGUAGCGGUGAAAUGCGCAGAUAUCAGGAGGAACACCGAUGGCGAAGGCAGUUCUCCUGGGCCGAAACUGACGCUGAGGAGCGAAAGCGUGGGGAGCGAACAGG
rnacentral:rRNA from 1 species